AUGCUGAGACCCAUGUAUCCUGGGCACAGGCCAGCAUUGAGCUGUAGUUGGAGUAGGCUGCCUUCCGAAGCAACAUCUAUUUACAAUGAAGUGGCAGUCUCCAGAAUUCCAGUCACUUUUCUCAGAAGGAUUGAUGAGUUUGACAAUUUACUUGAGGGCAGGAACAGUGGGGGGUUUAUUCAAUGGAGUAAAGCCUGGAAACGUAGAUUUUGCCAACACUGCCACUCCUACUCAGAUGAAGACGAUGUCUCAGUCAACCAGGAUUUGGAUGAGAAACAACAAAGGAGAAGAGCACAGAACAAUUACUGGCAGGCUUCACAAAGAAUAUGUUAAGAUUAUUACACUACAGAUUGAUGUUGCCACUGACGGAUGAUAUGCUGAAGUCGAAUUCACAACUGACCGGCAGAAAGAUGCUGAACACAGGGCUGUCCCUGUAAAUUCUGUGUUUUUAGAUUUUAAUGAUAUCUUAUUUGAUGACUUUAAUGUUUGAACUUUCCUCUUAAUAUUCUUCCCAACUUAGCUAGACCUUCCUCCACUUUUAUGGGACAAUUGUAGAGCAACCUGGUGACCAUGGUCCUAAAGCUUUGUAAAAACUGCAGAAAAUGCAAAACGCUUGGGUGGAAUAUCAGGAAUGAGGAUUUGGGUGGAACUGAAAAAAUUUUUGUUGUACAUAGGUUUAUCUGCUAAUUAAAGUUUAGAAGAGUUUAAUAAGGUCAGUAAAAAUGUUGAAGGUUUUUCACCAAAGUCAAUGACUCUUUUUGCCUCAUUAUUCAAGUGAUAGGAUGAUGUUGCAAAAGUGGAUUUGAGGUCGAAGACUGCACAAAAAAAGAAAAGUCUUGGAUUAUUUAUGUUUAAAAAUAGGAAAGAUUUAAUUAAAGCAACAGAUAGUUCAGAACCAUUGAAACUCUAUCAAGACUUCAUUAUAGGUUCCAGGGAACAUGAUGCAACUACUCAUGUAUGUGAGCUACUGCGGUACCAAGGAGAGCACUGUCUCUGAAAGGAAAUGCAGCAACGGUGAAUCCCAUUUCCUGUAACUGUCAUGGCAUCAGGAAAGUGGGGAUCUCUUCAGGGAAAGAAAUUGGGGCUCUAUUACAACAGCUGGGAGAACAGUGGGAAAAAAGUGGUUUCCGGCU
rnacentral:lncRNA from 1 species